CUGAGGCGCAAUCAGUGUGUUCAAUUGUUAAACAACAGGGCGAUAGUUCAAUGUCACCCAGGCAAGAGUGAUUGCUGUUUUCACUUCACCACUUUUCUAACGUCAAGAGCUGCAGAUUUGGGGAAUCUCAAAAAGAAACAAAAACUGCUGGAGAAACUCAACAGGAUUGGAAGUACCUGUGAGUAGAUUUGAGCAGCUGAAUGGCUUUCUCCUGUUCCUGUGUAACAUACUUGAGAGAAUGAAUAGCUGGGUUAUUAACAGCCAUGAAACUGGAUCUGAUGGAGGUUCCUCCUGCCUGAGUUACAGAAAAACAAACAACACAAUGUACUCCAGGUAUCCUCUCAGUAAGAUCUCAUUAAACUGCAGUAACCCUUCCCUAUGUUUUGAAUGAUACCCGCUGCAAGAUGUAUCAACAUUGCAGCUUUAUACUUCUUCAAGUGGUAAUUGGCGAGUGUGGACUGAAUGAUCUCUUCCUAUCCCUCUGUAAAAGGCACAUGGGGCGGAAUUGCUUCCCACUGUUCCUGAGCAGCAGGCUUAAUAGACUUUCUUAAGGCCAUGAACGGAUUUGAUAACAGUGUGUUCACCAAUAGGAGAAACAUCAUGCAAAGUCAAUAAGCAAUAACUAUUAUUAUCCUGCUUUAUGACUUCUAGAAAUGUCCCCACUAGUCAUUUUAUGCAUUGUCUGUUAUUUUAUCCCUAUCUCCAUUUAUAAACAGAGUGGGGCAUGCAGUGCAGUGUACUACUAUCAUAUGCAAGCAAGAAAGUUUAAAAAGAUGGGAAGAUUUAUGGUCCAUUCCUCAGCAAUUUCAUUCCUAUCAU